CCCACACAUAAAACAAUCAGACACCAUUACAACCUUCAAGUCACAACUCAAAACUCACCUGUUCAAACUCGCACACAACGUCUAACUGAUCACUGUUUUGAUUGUUUUUUUUUGUUUUGUUUUGUCUUGUUUUUGUUUUAUUUAUUUCUUAUUGCUUAUGUUUAUUUAUUUUUACACAAUGUCUUGUUUUUUAAAUAAUGUAUGAUGACUAUAUGCUCUGUAAGGUGACCUUGGGUGUCUUGAAAGGCGCCUCUAAAUUAAAUGUAUUAUUAUUAUUAUUAUUAUUAUUAAUAUAGUUUAGUUUAAUGCCAUGGCAACGAAUGUCACGUAGCCGAAGAGAGCAUCUGUUUGUGGAGAACUACCUCUUCAGACAGUUUGCCUAUGUUCGUAAACGUUUGCUUGCUUAUGUUCGUUUAACGGAAAAUGUUUAAAAUCGUUCGCGAACGUUCGCGAUUCUGAACGCACCUCAGAUCUGCCUUUUCAGUCCAGAGAUUCAACUAUUCGGCGGGGUUUGUUUACCGGCGUUGCUAUGGUGACCUAAAUUAUUAUAAGCAACUGAAAACGACGCCGGUUUGAAACUAAAACUGUGAUUCUGAAAAAAGUAUAAAUGCUAUAAAAAUUCCGUUUGGAUAGUAUUGAAGAUACAAGUGUGUAGAUUUGUUUAAUGGUUUGAACGAUGGUAAACGGUUGAAAAAGGAAUGAGUUACGAUGUCUAGAAGUAGGUGUAUCAGAAUUAUGAAGGUAUUAUUGUAGCAAAAGUCUUUAGCACCUGUAACUGCAGAAUUUGAAUGCGUACACAAAAGUCACAGUAAAUUUGAAGUCGUAUAUAUUUAUUUUGCAUGUGUACUCUAAAGUCACAAAUGUGUAACAGUACAUUUGUAGUCGUAAAAAAAAUAAAAUAUUUUUUAUACCAUUGUAAACACAAAAUAGGGUCUACGAGUACGCUAAUCUGUGUUACAGGUGCACAAAUCCUUUUGCUACAAUUAUUGCAGCGCAGUUGGUGCAAAACACAUUCGCACACCCGUGUUUCAUAAUCUGAGAACAUGCCCAAAAGGUGUGCAUUCGUAAACCCAAAUUUGAACAAAUGCAUCAGAAGUUGCACAUCUGUGAACGCUAUGUUAAUUCAGCAUUUUAAUGAGCGAGCACAAAACCAUUUUACAACUGCUCGAAUCUGCUCCUGCAAGUCUCAGCUGUGGGGUUUUUUGCAGGUUGUUUUGCAACACCCCUAUGGAGUCAGUUUCCUGCCAUAAUUCAAACCUGAAAAAAAAAGUUUCAAAGGCUUGUAAGUCUGGGUUUGAAAACUCAACACCUUGUAAAAAAGGUGUUGAGUUUUCAAACCCAGAUUUACAAGCCUUUGAAACUUUUUUUUUCAGGUUUGAAUUAUGGCAGGAAACUGACUCCAUACACCCCUAGGUGGUAAAUGUGUAGCAAAAGUAUUCGUAUCCGUAGAUGACAGAGCGUCCGUGAGCGGGACAAAAUAGUCCCACCCAUAAUUUCCUAAUCCAAUGA
ensembl:lncRNA